rnacentral:rRNA from 1 species
UAGGGAAUCUUCCACAAUGGACGCAAGUCUGAUGGAGCAACGCCGCGUGAGUGAAGAAGGUCUUCGGAUCGUAAAACUCUGUUGUUAGAGAAGAACACGAGUGAGAGUAACUGUUCACUCGAUGACGGUAUCUAACCAGCAAGUCACGGCUAACUACGUGCCAG